rnacentral:rRNA from 1 species
CCUACGGGAGGCAGCAGUGGGGAAUAUUGGGCAAUGGGCGCAAGCCUGACCCAGCAACGCCGCGUGAAGGAAGAAGGCUUUCGGGUUGUAAACUUCUUUUCUGAGGGACGAAGAAAGUGACGGUACCCCAGGAAUAAGCCACGGCUAACUACGUGCCAGCAGCCGCGGUAAUACGUAGGUGGCAAGCGUUAUCCGGAUUUAUUGGGUGUAAAGGGCGUGUAGGCGGGAAAGCAAGUCAGAUGUGAAAACUCAGGGCUCAACCCUGAGACUGCAUUUGAAACUGUUUUUCUUGAGUGCUGGAGAGGCAAUCGGAAUUCCGUGUGUAGCGGUGAAAUGCUUAGAUAUACGGAGGAACACCAGUGGCGAAGGCGGAUUGCUGGACAAUAACUGACGCUGAGGCGCGAAAGCGUGGGGAGCAAACAGGAUUAGAUACCCUGGUAGUC